UCAUGGAGACGGCUCUUCCAGAGAUCUGGACUGACAACCUGCAGCAGGGCCAAACUCUACGCACAGGUCCAAACUCAACAGCCAAUAGCAUUAUGGCAUCAUUUCAGCAGCAGAAACCCGCUGUGCCUCAGCACGACACAGAAGCCCUGACUGUGCCGAAGAUGAGGAUCGGUGUCAAGUGGAAACUCAGCAUUCUCAAAUAGUUUGCAUGUGUCUCUGGGCUUGCUUUUUUUUUGUUGUUGGUUAUUUUAUGCAAAUAAAAUGUAUUUUAUGGGAUAUUAUGAAGUAAUUAAAAUUCAUAAAUUACUUACAGUCUUCUGAGUUUUUCUCAUAGCUGUAGUUCACAAUCAUAUUUAGUCUCUGAAACUAAGAGCAAAGUGUAAGAAUGUGUGACUCUCUACGUUUCUUGUUAAAACCCAUAAUCCAAACUAACCCAUGUUCCAUUUGUUUUGUUAGGUUUAAAUAAUUUUUUUUAAUAUUUGCAGGAGAUUAAUAUCUUAAUUUGCAUCAUAGGGGCCUGUCACUGUUGAAUGGCUGUAUUUACUCAUUUCAUUCCUACAAGUUGAAAAUAAAAAUUAAUCAAUACUGGCCUUC